CUCCCAUCUUUGAAGAUCGGCUAAUCAUAAUGGAUGAACAUGCAAAUAACAAGCUCAAAAUCCUCAUCUGACGGGCUAAAAUCUGAGUCAUCACCAACACAAAACAAUCUUCUGCAAGGAGAACUUACAAGAAUGCAGCUUGACACAAUGUUUGUGAAGAGUAAAUUUGUAUUUUCCAGGCUCAUCUUUCAGGAUUUCGUAAGCUGUGCUCGAAAACAGUUACUGACAAUCAUGGAACCUUAAUUUAACGAUGAAGAGGAAAGACGAGAAAACGCCACCGUGAAUACACCCGAAAACCCUAGCCAUCAGGCCAAGCCACUUCCGGGUUCCUUCUUUCCCUCUGGCCCCCAAUGAUGAUGUCACCACAUCCCAACUUCCUCAGCGAGUUCUUUCCCGGCAUUCCCUUUCCAUUCCCACACCAUAAAAUGUCUGUGUUCCUUUUACGCAAGAUGUAACGGGACAUUUGCAUUUCAAAAAGUUCAA